GGUAUAUCCGUUACGUUGCUGUCCGUACAGUGGACUUGAUUGGCGAAACAAAUAUUCCCUUUCCUGAGAAGUGGAAUUUUGAACCAACCAUGGGAGAUGUGGAACCUAUUCCCAACUUUCGUGGUUGGGUAGACUCACUUUUGAAGAUUGCUACUAGGGAGCAGAGAACUUGGAAAUCAAUUUCUUCUUUACAUGGCUGGAAAGUCAAAACACAUGGAUUUGGCAUUAGAGGAAUGACGGUUGAAGUAGCUAUGGCCAUUCGCAUGUCUGCGAAUGCUGCUCUGGAUUUAGAUAAGGCUCGAAC